GACGAACCGAGCGAACGUUAUUCGGAAUAACUGGGCUUAAAGGGUGCGUAGGCGGGCUGUCAAGUCUGGGGUGAAAUCCGGCAGCUUAACUGUCGAACUGCCUUAGAUACUGAUGGCCUCGAGGGGGGUAGGGGCAUGCGGAACUGUAGGUGGAGCGGUGAAAUGCGUUGAUAUCUACAGGAACUCCGGUGGCGAAAGCGGCGUGCUGGACCCCUUCUGACGCUGAGGCACGAAAGCUAGGGGAGCAAACGGG
rnacentral:rRNA from 1 species